rnacentral:rRNA from 1 species
ACUGGCGAACGGGUGAGUAACACGUAGGUGAUCUAUCUUUGGGUCUGGGAUAGCCUGUGGAAACACAGGGUAAUACCGGAUACGACCUUUAGACUGCGGUCUAGAGGGGAAAGUCGCUUAGGCGACGCCCUGAGCUGAGCCUGCGGCUCAUUAGUUAGUUGGUAGGGUAACGGCCUACCAAGGCGACGAUGAGUAGCCGGCCUGAGAGGGUGUGCGGCCACACUGGGACUGAGACACGGCCCAGACUCCUACGGGAGGCAGCAGCUAAGAAUCUUCCGCAAUGGGGGGAACCCUGACGGAGCGACGCCGCGUGGACGAAGAAUGCCGGAAGGUUGUAAAGUCCUUUUCCUGGGGGAGAAUAAUGGAUGGAGGGAAUGCCAUUCAGAUGACGUGAACCAGGGAAUAAGCCCCGGCUAAUUACGUGCCAGCAGCCGCGGUAACACGUAAGGGGCGAGCGUUGUUCGGAUUUAUUGGGCGUAAAGGGCGUGUAGGCGG